GUGGGGCAGAGGCAAAUUCAGUGGGUUGAAGAGGGAGUGGGAGGUAAGGAAGUGGUGUCAAUAAGUACAGAUGAUUCUUUGGAUAAAUCUGUUAGUGAAAAGAAGGAAAGAGAUGAGACUGUGGUUUGAGGGAAUAAUUUUUUUAAAAAAGAGGGGGCAGGGAAGCAUUUGGGAAGUUAAAUGUGGAAGUUGAACAUAUUUGAACACCGAGAGGAAGACAGUGGCAAGAAGAGGGGGUGUGAAGUUGCCAGAGAUAACCAUUUGGAAUAAGCUUCCCGAAGCCCAGCAAAGAACAGAGAUUUCUGCUCCCAAGUUUGGUGAAUCUAGACCAGCGCUGUCCAGCAGAACUCGCUGUGAUGAUGGAACUGUCCCAUAUCUGUGCUGUCCAAUAUGGUGGUCACCAGCCACACGGGGCCACUGGGCACUUGAAAUAUGGUUUGCACAAAUGAGCAACUGAGUGUUAAAUGUUAUUUCAUGUUGAUUAAUGGAAAUUGAAAUAGCCACAGAGAGCUUGUGGCUUGGAGAGCCACAGCUCCUGUCAAAACCUCUGUGGGCUGAGGGCAACCAAGGGCACAGUAGUAGCAUCUGGGUGGCUCGGUGACAUUUAUGAGGGACAGAGGAUGGGAUGGUAUAAGGAGCACAAACAAAGGUCCUGAUUUCACUACAGCCCUAUCUUCUCUUUUCUGUGCCCUUGGGCAU
rnacentral:lncRNA from 1 species